rnacentral:rRNA from 1 species
UACGGAGGAUGCAAGCGUUAUCCGGAAUUAUUGGGCGUAAAGCGUCCGCAGGUGGUUAUCCAAGUCUGCUGUUAAAGCGCGAGGCUUAACUUCGUACAGGCAGUGGAAACUGGGUGACUGGAGUAUGGUAGGGGUAGCGGGAAUUCCCAGUGUAGCGGUGAAAUGCGUAGAUUUUGGGAAGAACACCAGCGGCGAAAGCGCGCUACUGGGCCAUUACUGACACUCAUGGACGAAAGCUAGGGGAGCGAAAGGG